UCCUUGGUGGUCCAGUGGCUAAGACUCUGUGUUCCCAAAGUAGGGGACCUGGGUUCAAUCCCUGGCCAGGGAA
rnacentral:tRNA from 1 species